GCGGGUGGAGCUCGAUGGUUGAGUCCUAGCCUUCCAAGCUAGUUGUGCGGGUUCGAUUCCCGUCACCCGCUCCA
rnacentral:tRNA from 1 species